AGAGAUGAUGAAAUGUGCACUGGGCUCUGAGCAGUUGAAACUGCUUUUCUUGAUGGAUAAUAUGCAGCCUAGAAAGCUAUUCCUGAUCU